CGCGGGAUCCUGGUUUGCUGGUUGCAAGGUGCACGUGCGCCGUGUUGUGUGGGUUUAUCCUCGCUCUCUGCCACCCGUCCCCAGUGUGGACUUAUCUAAGGAGUUUCCUGAGCUCUGGCAUGACUAUGGAACAAUUGGAAAGAAUCAACAAAGAAAUCAACUCAGUCAAGACUGAAGUUGAAGAAAAGCAGAAGAUGCUCCCCAGGUUUACUUCAGCGCUUGAAGAGCUAUUGCAAAGCCCCAUGGCCUCCUUGAGUGACAAAUGUGAAACAAGGUUUUCCUGAAAACAGCCUCCUCCCACAAGUGGAAGGAACCAUCAAAAAUCAAAGCGAGUCAGCCUGAUGGACCACACAUGUCCAGCAACUGACCUUGAAUAUGAUCCCUUGCUCAAUUACUCGGUAGCACUGCUUGGAGCAUCUAAAGGAAGGCAGGGUGAGACUGACAGUCAGCCCUUCUGGAAAAAAUCUGUGGAUAAAAAUUGCCGCAAGUCCCUGGAGAGUCAAAGACCUUAUGUUUUGCCCAUAAGAAUUAAAAUAAAUCUUCAAGAUUCUGAUGAAGAUGACCUUGUAAUGGAUGUACCUCCAAUCAUUCCUGUUUCUAGGAAAUCUAAAUGCUUUAAAGCUCAACAGUAAAACUACAUUAAUUUCAGAGGCUUUAAAUAUCAGAAUAUGGAGGAGAGGGUACAGCUAGUGCCACUGGAGGAAAGAAAUCUUCAGAUCAGUGGCAUAGAAGAGGAAAAAAUAGGUGAAACCCAACUAACCACACACAGAGAAGAUGACAGUAAGAAGCCAGAACCACCAAGAUCACUCAUGAAAACCUCACGAGAUAUUAAAACUAAGAUAAACAUGUGUGGUGUUCAGAACCACAUUUCUAAGAUGGGAAGUUUUGGUGGCGAGAAGAUGCAUGUCUGCAUUUCAGGAGAAAAUAUGUCUUAUGCCCCUCCCAGGGACAAAGAAAUCCAGACAGGAAGUCAUAGUGAAAAGUAAACAAAGAGGGCAGGACAUGUAAAGACAACUGAUGAUACUCAACAAGAAGACACCGAACGCUGUCUUCACCAAGCCAACUCCAGUUCUCUUAUUUAGAUGAUCACUUGAAAGAGUUCUGACAGCACCAGAUGAUAGUCAAGACUUGACUAUUUUUGAAGACGGCAGGCUUCAGGAAAGCAAAUGGAAUUAGAUAUGCUGUAUUACCAAAACAUUUCUGGACCAAAAAGGAGAAUUGCACACUGCCAAGGUUGAUAUAUCAACCCGAAAACAGAUGACUGUUCAGGGGACUAAUCCUGUCACUAAUUAGUCACACUGGGAUCUUUCAGACCGAACAAGUAGUGCAGACAAUGAGUGCCAUUAAGGAUGGGCAGACUUUUGAUCCUGCCACUUCAGAACAGAAGAAAAAUACCUUUGUAUGUCCAGCCUUUCAGAGCCGGAGGAAAGCCUUAGGAGAAAAUUCAUGUACAUCAAGCAGCCUUCAUGAGGAUGUAGUUCCUUCAAAGGAAAAUCCAAUUGCAAAGCCAAACAGAUCACACAUUCCUGUGAAAACUAUUGCUUCUUUUCCUGAUGGUGAAAUACAAGGUGGCUCAUCGGAAGCAGGCUUUAGGAGCAUCAGAAUCCGCACCCAAAGUUCCUGAUGAAGUAAGACAAUGUUAUGUCAACCUCUUUUUUGAGAAGUAUUUGAAAGUUUAUAAAACGGAGGAUGAGGCAUUUAAGAAGAUAUGUCUGGAAGCAGUAACGAUAAUAAGACAAUCGGAUUGAAAAAGAAUGAAACGAAAAAUGGACUCACAGGAAUUAUGCUCUACAGACAUAUUAAAGACUACCUUCUAACUGAAGAACAGUUACGUGAAAAUAACUACCCCCAGCCCAACCCUGAAAAAUCAUAAAGUAUUCUUUUAAACCCAGGCAUGACAAAAACUCGUGUAAAUGAUCAUAAGUAUAUGGGUCUGAAAACUAUCCUUUCUGGGUACUGAGACUGGAGCCAUAAGGAUCCCAAUGUUCUCAUAUUUUCCCAUGGAAACAAGAAUUGUGGCCAGCAUCAUUAAACUACAGCUUCUAGGAAGACAUGCUGUCAAUGUGGGAAGAUCUAUGGUGUGACUUCUACAGGCAGACACAGCAGGACAGAGGGAUGUCACUACCACUUUGACCGAGUGUUGAGUCAUAAAGUGCUAUGCAGCCAAAGGUUUGGAACUUACUCAAGUAACAGUGAUGGAUCCCAGCCUCCAGGUGGUCUGUGAUACAUUUGUGAAACCAGAUGAAGAGGUCAUUGACUGUAACACUAGGUUUUCUGGUGUGGUUGAAGAUGACUUGAAGAACAUGAAGACCUCAGUCCAUGAUGUGCAAACUAUCUUAUUGAACCUCUUCAGUGCUGACACUAUACUAAUUGGACAUAGCUUUGAACACAGUCUCUCUGCGCUUAAGUUAAUUCAUACUUCGGUUGUGGACACGAUGGUUCUGUUCCCUCAUCCGCUAGGCUUGCCUCACAAAAGAUCCCGGAAGGGCUUAGUGGCUGACUGCCUGCAGAGUCAUUCAGCAUGAAGGUCUCAGUUCCAGUGAAAAUGCAACCGCCUGCAUGGAACUGGUCCUCUGGAAGGUAAAAGAUGACCUAAAAGGAAAAAAGUAACCACCUGGCCCAAGAAUAUCUUAAACCUCUGCAUUGCAUCCGUGACU